AAAACCCUACAGUUGUUCUAGACAGGCUGCCUACAGCUGCUGCUGAGCCUAUGUCUGAAAACCCAGAAAAAUCUUGUGACAGCCCUUCAGCAGAGAACAUUUCUGAUGAACACAUUGAUACCAUAGCAGAUGAUAGUGAGACUCCCAGUGUCAGAAACUGCAAUAAAAACCCUACAGUUGUUCUAGACAGGCUGCCUACAGCUGCUGCUGAGCCUAUGUCUGAAAACCCAGAAAAAUCUUGUGACAGCCCUUCAGCAUAGAACAUUUCUGAUGAACACAUUGAUACCAUAGCAGAUGAUAGCGAGACUCAAAGUGUCAGAAACUGCAAUGUAAACCCUACAGUUGUUCUAGACAGGCUGCCUACAGCUGCUGCU
rnacentral:lncRNA from 1 species